rnacentral:misc_RNA from 1 species
GGAAGUAAAAGUCGUAACAUGGUUUCCGUAGGUGAACCUGCGGAAGGAUCUUUAUUGGAUUUCGAAACUUCAGGCUGCUGCUGGCUCUCCUCGGAGGGCAUGUGCACGCUUGUUGUCCAUUAUUUCUCCCACUGUGCACAAAUUGUAGACCUUUCAGUAGGCCUAUGUUGUUUUUCACAAUCUCUGAAUGUAAUAGAAUGGUUUUGAAUCUUGGGAAAUACAAUACAACUUUCAGCAACGGAUCUCUUGGCUCUC